GAUGAGAAAAAGGAGAAUUUAUCAGAAAGUACUGUUUAAUUCUACAGUUAAUAAAAGAUACAUUGAAUAUCAUACUACAUUAAUAUUCGUAAUGCAUGGGCUAUGAGGCCAUACGUUAUCUCCGAAAUGGUUGGUAGUAUUUCUAACGUCACAAAAAAUCUGUUUAAUAUACAAAUGUAUUCUUUAGUGAAAUAAAUAACAGAAUUCGUUUCUUCUGGACUGCUUUUACCUGUGUUGAAAACAGUGUCAAGUUCAGUUAGUUUUGUAAGGUACUUCUCUAUUAAUCCAUCACAUUCGAUCUGAGUUUGAAAAUAGUUACAAAAUACCACUUCUGAUGCUCGCCGAAACAAACUUUGAUCUAGUUCGACUGUCUUGGACUCUUCAAAAGGUAAAAUUAUUAUCGCAUUGAAUAAGGCUCUAGAUAAAUUGUGAUCUUUCUCUUUUAUCAAAUGUGGUCCUCAAUGUGUGUGUAUUCGCUUGUUCAGUGAUACUAUAUGUAUAACAUUAGGAAGGAGUAUAGUUUGAACCAAAGCUUGUACAUAGAAGACAAUAGGAUAAAUUCAGGUAUAGCUUAAAGAGUUUUAGACAACGAUUGUUGGGUAAAGAGUUUAACAAUACGUUUUAACAGGAUAUGUUGAAACUUGAGUUAGUAUAGGAAAUUUACAAUAGGUGCAGUCAUAUGAGUUUCUUCUCCGUAGUUUGAUGGUGUUGUUUUUUUUUUUUUUUAACUUGUAGUCUACUCUUAUAUUCCAGGGAUAGUAAGGCGUAAUAAAUGUAACUUGUGUAUACUCUAUGGUUUAGGACAAGACUACCAUUCAACAUUAUUUGGUUCUCAUGUAUAAAAGUGAUUUCAUCUUUCAAUCGAUGUUCCUUUUUGGUAUAGCCAUAUGAUGCAUUGUCAAUCAUCGGAGCUUAUGACAGGUUUAAUGACAGUAUUUAAAUCCUUUCUACGACAUUUGAAAACAGAAACAAUGAUACCUAUGUACAUCGAUAUUGGAAACGAUAAUUCUGUUUUCUUUUAUUUUAAUGCUCUCAAUAUUUAGCAUUAAACCUAACAUUAAGAUUUCUGAUACUUUAGUUCCGCUUUUUACGUGAGGUUAUGGAGGGAAUCUAGUACAAGACACAUAACGACCUCGUUUCAAAUAUUCUUUUCUCCCAUGUGGUAUCUGUUUUUGUAUUUUCUAUGGAUUCCAAUUUGGUGGACUAGAUUCCAUAAUCUGGUUCUGCUUAAAUUUGGACUAAGGGACAUCAGAAGUAAUCCGACUUUUAAUGUUGACACACAUAUUCCUGAUUAUUUUUACUUGUCAGGCUUAAAAGCUUCACAAGUUGCAUCGAUAUGGAUUUCUUGACAAACAUUGAAACAUCUUGCAUCCCCUCUUGUGGAGCCGACGUGACAGAGUUAACCUAAACGUACCCGACCCUCGACAAUUCAUUUUCAAAAUGCUGGCAUUUCGUCAAUUUUUAUCCAAUUUUUUUAAAGUUGCCCUCAAUCUAUCAUAAAUUGGUGUUAGUUUAUUACACUCAAGUGGCUAUGCAACUUCCGGAACCAUUCCGGGGAUAUUCCGGAUUAUGUUGGGGCCAGGGGGUUGCCAAAAUGGCUAAAAGUGAUUAUUUCGUGUGUUAUUGUUUGAACCAUCGAUUUUUAGCGAAAUAUUUGUUGCGAACAGUGAUCAAACUGCGAUAACCAGGUUUGAAUAAGUUGACCCAUCCGGAUCCUCGUGACAGGUUCCGGGGGACCUCAUUGGGGACACUUCUGGUUUUUAACCUAAGCAUGUAGUGCGACAUAUUAAUCUUCGUGAUUUCGAAUAACUGAGUCAGAAAUGAUAGACUGAAGUCUGUAUCAACUAAUAUGGCUUCCUCGAAACAUCUAGCAUAGUUUCCACGGGGGUGUCAUCGGGGACAUUUCUAGUUUGCAACCAAAACAUACCGUGCGACGUAUCAAUCUUCAUGAUUUCGAGAGAAUGGGCAGAAAAAAAUGACUGAAGUAUGUAUCAACUGAUGUGGCCGCUCCGGAAAACCUAGAACAGGUUCCACGGAGGUCUCUCAAAUACAAUAACAGACGGAAUAAUCACUUUUAGCCGUUUGUCAAAACAGACCCCUUCCCCAUCCACUGACGCCAGUACAAUUCGAAAUAUCUCCGGAAUGGUUCCGGACAUUACAUGGCCACGUGAGUGCAAUAAACUUGCAUCAAUUUAUAAUCGGGGCGACUAUCAAAAAAAUCGGAUGAAAAUUGACGAAAUGCCAGCAUUUUGAAAAUUAGUUGUCGGGGGUCGGGUACGUGAAGGAUAAAUAUGUUGCUAGGGUAUUGGUUCCCUUAUUAAGCAUGUGGUUCCCAUUCUCAUCCUACGAAAAACAAAGGAUUGAAGCGCUAUUUGUUUUGUUUCUUAUUUUUGUAUUUUUUGUUAGAAGUGAGCAUCCAUGAAAACAAAAAGAACGGAAUCAAUCGGUGCCGUAAUCGCUUGUUUUCGGAUAGGAUGAAUAUGGGAGCGUGAGAUUACUGAUGGCACACAUACCCUAUAUAGGGCUCGUGCCUUUACGAUUUUUAUUGGACCAUUACUGAAACUUGUAUGCUUUUGUUUUAAACAAACAUUGUACUAGUACUCACAGUAAUAGUGACAAUAAUAGCCCAAAAGAACUUAAUAUUGUCUGAGAAUCAGAGCUUUAAGGUUUGAUAAAUGACAUCGAGCAGGCAGUACUUCUAUAAAAAGUAUCAUGUAACAAUAAUAUGUUGUAGUUGGUGCAAACUGCAAUUCCCAAGACGCUUCAACUACCAAUCAAUGCGUAAAUUUGAUGAGCUGAAUUAAACGUUCAAGUCUCAGGGAAUUUGACCGAUAAAACCCUUCAUGACGAAGAAAACAAAACGGCCGAAAAUAUUUAAGAAGCCUUAGUUAAUAUCCAAUUUAACGGAAACUGCAGAAAAGCAUCAAAAUGAUAUGAGGAUGGCACACAACUUUAGACUGUACGAUAGCAUGGGACACGCUUGUAUGAAAAGCAAAAAUCCUCGCAUCAGUUCAUUUUUCGGGUUUCAAUUAAGUCCCGUAUGGACUAAGCAAAAUUUCAUCGCAAUCGGUAAAACAAUACUCAGUUAAUAAAUGUGAAAGUGCUCUAAGAACAAUAAGUUGAAGAGAGGCAGGCAAAGUUCUAAUGCGAAUGUCGAGCCAUAAAGAAGAAGAAAAAGAACACUCCUUACUGAAAAAUAAUCAUUCCUUCAAAGACGGCAAAAUGAUUUGUGGCUUGUGAAAAAAAGUUAUUUAAUUAUAUAUCCCAGAAACAGCUGUAGCUAAUGUAAGAUCGUAGCAGGCUGUGCGCGCAAGCGGCUGCGGUUUUCGAAACUGUCACGCGUAUUUGUUUGCUUCGCCUUGUUUUGAAUAUAGCCGGCCGAAUUGAGAAACGGCUGGUGGCGCUAUGCCUUCCGCAAAUUUUACCUCGAAAAGUGCUUGAAAAUUGAUUUUCGGGAUUCAACGUAUUUCUUUUACCUGACGAUUUAGCGGAUCACGUAAUUAAAAUUUGCACUUCAAGUGAGUCGUUUUCGAGCAUCUACCUCUACGUAGUUACCCGUCGUAUCAAAUAGAAUGCGAACGACGCGUUUGAUCGCCUUCCAGGUAGCAUUGUUCUUCCUCUACAAGUGGUUGAGGAAGCGUUGCCUGUACGAUAGGCAAACAGUUUCAAACAAUAAACAAAUCGCUUUCGCUCUUCGUACAUAUGUACAACAGAGAUGGUUAUAUUUGCGGUUUAGGGGAAGAUGAUAUAGAUCGAUGAGAUUAGAAUUGAACCUUAUGACAACUAAGUUGCCGGGUCAUUAAUUGGCUCGGUAGCUUAGUUGGUAAAGCACUUGUCUAGCGAAUAAGGGUCGUGAGUUCAAAUCUCACCUGAGCUGUGGUUUUUUUUCCCAAUUUAACCAAUAAUUUACCCAUCUGUACAUAUGUACGUUGAGUUAUUUGAAUUUCAUAAGGAUCACGUACGACAACUUGCAAUUGUUGUGAAAGUUGGUCUUAUUCCCAUCGGGGUGCCGGAAUUCGUCUUCAUUUCCGCGUGAUUUCCGUGAAGUUUUUUUUUGUGAUAUUGCUGCUGGAUAUCCGGUAGGUGGUGAGUUUGCUACUGUAUAUCGUUUUGGUGCGUUGACCAGACGCAUACUUUAAACUUUACCCUUCCAUAACAACACCUAAAUUCCCGUGGCAUCUAGGCCUGAGAGGAUGUAGAGGUCUCUACAUACCUUUUUUAGUUGUACAACGAACUUCCUUUCUCAUCCCCCAGCUGCGGCAAGGACGUGGCCAGGACAGCUUUCGACCAUUGGAAGGUUUCGUAAAUAUUGUCUUCGAGUCAGUGAUAAGCCCUAAAUCUCUUUCCUUUGGUAACGGAUGAGAAGGAGGCCAUCCUCAUAACAACGGUCUGGGACUGUACCUACGAAUUUGUGUGACUUGCUUAAUGCUAACGCUAAUGUUAAUGCUAAAGAAACAGCAGCAGCCAAGGCAAAACCUCUGAAAACCCCUUGAAGUGCACUUGAAAUGCCUCGAGACGCAUCUGAAUCUUACAUAAUCACACUGAAAUUUCCGUAAUCAAUUUGGAAUACCCUUAAAACCUUCAAGAACCCAUUUAAAAAACUCCAGAAACACCCAGUUAGCCUAGUGAUUAAGGCUACGAAACGCCAAUCCGGAGACGGCGGGUUUGAUUCCCGUUCCAGUCGGGAAAAUAUUCUCUACACCCUGGGCAUAGUGUAUCAUUGUGCUUGCCUCACAAUAUACAAAUUCAUGCAAUGGUAGGCAAAGAAAGCCCUUCAAUUAAUAACUGUGGAAGUGCUCAAAGAACACUAAGUUGAAGCGAGGCAGGCCAAGUCCCGGUGGGGGCGAAGAGCCAUAAAGAAGAAAAAGAAGAAGAAAAAACCCUAAAAAUACCUUGAAGCGUCUCUGAACUCCUAUCAAACGCCCUCAAAACCUCUCAAAACGUCCUUUGUUUUAAAACUGUCUGGAACUCUCUGAAAUGGCUCCUAACCAGUGCUUGAAAAUUGAAGCGUUUUCCUCCGAACAAAGCAAAAUUUGCUUCUCUUUAACCAGAGCUGUAGCUGUAUACCUUCAUUGGCUAACAUGCUUCAGAAGCUAGUGGGAGCACGAGCAAUCAAAUUUGUUACUGAGAGUGAGAAAUGGUGGUUCAUAUGCGUGGUGGCUCUCUGAAUCUUUCUUUUCGCCGACGUAUACGACAAUAAAAACUUAGUUUUUAUCAAGUUAUUACAGUGCAAAUAACAUGAACUCAAAUUAAAUCGAUUACAAUAGUCACGUACAACAUUCCCAUAUCAACAGAAUGAUUGUUUUUACUAGAGCAACAAAUAAAACCGCUGAAUCAUUUCCCCAUCUUCACACUAACCGCAGCAAAUGAGCAUGAACGAUCACCAGUCAGUUUGCUUCACAAGUAAACCGGUCGAUGAGGAAUAGCAGUCGCAGUUCGUUCGGCGCUCCCUUGGCGUAUUCGUUCGUAGCUGAUAACUGGUCGUGUAUUUCAUUUUCACUCAAAUUCAAGCGCUGCUCCUAACGCUUUUUAAAGGCUUCUGAGACUCCCAUUGAAUCGCCCUUACAGACCCUUGAAACGUCCCUGAAACCCUCGUGAUCCCAUUGGAAUGCCAACGAACGCCAUUAAAUAGAUACUGAAAUUCCCUUUGUAGCCAAAGGAAGCUCAAUGAAUUGGUUUCCGGGCAAAUGUUCGUGUGGAGGCCAGACUUUGUCACGAUAUAGCAACCAUCAUGUUGUAUUCCAAGGGUCUCCAUUGAAUAUUGCUUAUCCUGCUACAAUAAAUCAUCAGGUAGAUCAUUUCGUUCCGGUAUGACUCUGCGGCCAUAAUUAAUCCUUGCGAUGAUGGUAUGUACACAAUCAUCAUCAUCAUCAUCAUCAUCAUCAUCAUCAUCAUCAUUAUAACCAUCAAAAUUGCCUCUUUUAUGCCUUUUCAAGUUUAUGAAUAUCUUGAAUUAAUGCACUCGCAAUGGCGUAGGAGGUUCCAGUGUACAUAGCAAAAUCAGAGACAUCCCCUCCCCUGUUUGCUUAAUAUUCAGUGCAGCUUUAUAGAGCAGCCUUCGUUGCUCCCUUGCUUUAUUAUUGCUGGCCCCUGCAUCGUCCUUCUGGCUUGGAAGCACUCUGCACGCAGAUCAGCAAUCGUCGGAUUCCACCAGUAGGCUCGACAGUGUCUUGGAUUUCCCAACUUUGGCGUGAUUGCAUCACAUGCUCGGGAUAGAUUCGCUAUAAGCUGGUGUGCGCUGUAGCUCAGCGAGUUUUCUUCCAGCCUCAGAGCUUCCUUAAACACUUCUUUAUUGAAGUUCGCUGUCUUCCAUUUUCGCUCUUUGAAUUCCACUUGACUCCGCUUGCAUUGUGUCUCCGAUAUGAUACCGAAUAGUGUGAUGGUCACUGUGGAUAUAUUCUUUACUUUCUACCCAAUUUAUCGCUCUCAUCAGACAAGGGCUGCAGAAAGAUCCCCUGGAACCUCAUGAGACACCUUGAAGCUCCCCUGAAACGUUCACAUCCUUGAGACUCACUGAAGCACCCCUAAGACCACCUGGAACCACAUGAAACCUCCUAAGACCAGAUGGUACUCCCGGAACGUUCUUGAAACGCCCCUGAGAUCAUCUGGGACCUCUUGGUACCCCCUGAAGCUCCCUGCUACCUCCCUUUACUUCACGCUAUAAAUGCACCCUGGCCGCUGUUACCGUAUUUAUUAAAUUUUCUCAUGCAAAAUAUUGGUUCUGAAUAGACUUUAGAUUUUCUUUCUCUUUUUUUUUGGACAUAAAAAGGUGCAUAAGGCAUCGUGCACAAAUUACGUAAUGCUAUAGGGGGAGGGUGGGACUCCGGCUUAGCGUUACGAUCCAUACACAUUUUUUUUGGGUAUACAUAUAAAAAGCGUUACCAUGGGGGAAGGGGUCUGAAAUGAUCUAUUUCAGCGUUACGUAAUUUGUGUAACAUGCCUAAAUUAGCAGCCUAAUUAAGAGUGCAUAACAAUAACCUGCAUAAGAAGAGGUUUUGGUAUAGUCGAUGGAUAGGUGGAAGAUUUGUUAAACAACUAGUAAUUCCUUAAAAUAAUAAGAUUAAAUCAUUGUCCCUCGAAUUAUAUUUAAGUCUACUCCAUGUCUAUUCCGGUUGCGAUUUCGAUUUUGUUAAAAUAUGGCUAUUUUCUACAGCUUAAUCGAAUGAGCUCAUUUUUCUGAGCUCAUUUUUCUGAUACCUUUAUUGUGAUUGUUAAAUGAACAAUAACACAUUCUACCGUGACGUUACAACGUUUUGACACCUUUUCUGUCAGAUUUUUCGCUAUAACUCGUAAAUUCGACCGUAAACCCUCAAAUAUUUUUGCGUAUUCGGAUUCCUUGUAAAAAUUUCAACAAGUUUAAUCUGUUAAACAGUUAGUUUUCAGUAGAAAAGUAUGUUAAACAUGGGAAUUAGUGGCGUGACGUUAUCACGGUGUAACGUCAAGCUACUCAUUACCACUUUUAACAUGCUUUCCCAAAGAAAACUAGCUGUUCAACAGAUCAUACUUAUUGGAAAUUUCACAAGGAAUCCAAAUAUGUAAAAAUAUUUGAGGGUUUACGGUCGAAUGUACGAGUUAUAGCGAAAAAUCUGACAGAAAAGGUGUCAAAUCGUAGUAACGUCACGGUAGAAUGUGUUACAAUACAGUUUUAUUUAGUUUCCCUGUAUAGAAUGACAGUGCAUUUGAUUAAAUGAUAGUUCACCCCGAACAAAAAAUUUCCCCUUACAUAUUUUAAAUGCAUUCCAAAAAUAGUUCCAGGACAUCAAAAAUGAAGAAAUGUUGAAUUUCAAAUAUGGUUAAGGCGGAUACUCCAAUUAUGACUUAAUCUGGAUACCCCUGAAGAACGCAAUUCAAUUUUCGUCAUACCUUCUACGUUAUCCAGUGACACUAUGAUACGUAGUAUGGUCAAAAGUUAUGAUUCGACUGACCGUAGCUGUGUAUUCAAAAAGUCAAUCAAAUUCUUUGCAACUUGAAGCAAAUCAUGAUUUCGAAUGACUAUGCAAUGACAAAGCAUAAAGUUUUCAAAAUGCGAUGGAUUAAUUUGAAAAAUAACGAAAAAAAUAUUUUAGUUAUUGUUUUUGACCACCAGAUCAUGAUACGCCUUCACAGUGCAACAAAGAAAUAUUUCUCAGUAGUUGUGAAUUAAGCACGUGGCUCCCAUUUUCAUCCUACGAAAAACAAAGGAUUGAAGCGUUGUUUGUUUUGUUUCUUAUUUUUGUAUUUUUUGUUAGAAGUGAGCACCCAUGAAAACAAAAAGAACGGAAUCAAUCGGUGCCGUAAUCGCUUGUUUUCGAAUAGGGUGAAUAUGGGAGCGUGAGAUUACUAAUGGUACACAUACCCUAUAAUGUUUCGUAUGCAUAGCAGCCAUGCCCGCAUUUUCUUGUAUCCUCCCCUGGACGAAGAAACUAGUUACAAAUUUGAAUUUGAUCGACGGGAAAUUGUAAUAGGGGAACUUACGUAUUUUCGGCAGUUUUGUUCUCUUCUUCAGGGGUUUUUUUUUUUGAAACCAGACUCGUUGUCCCUCCUACGCGCGUCGUCGGUCCCAAUAUUAGUGUGGUAUUAAGUGAUUUUAUCAACGGGAAUUCGAACCGAAUUAGUGGCUAGUUCCAGCCAGUACUCGUCGUCCCUCCACCACGCGUCAUCGGUCUCAGUGUUAGUGAGGGAUAAAGUGAUUUUUCCAGCGGGAAUUCGAACCGAGUGUGUUUUGGGAGGCAAAGUAGAGGUGCCGCUUUUUUCAUUCGGGGUGGCCGCGUCGUCGUCGAUUUGACUGUGUGCAUCGUCGUUUCUCGGGUGUAAUCGGAGCGGUUGAGUGUUAUUUCGGAGACGAAGCCAGUUGGUGGAAGAUGCUGCAGUGGACACUUGGAUGGAUAUUUAUCGGUGAGCUCGUUCCAUUUUAAUUUUAUGUUUAUUAUAAUAGUUAAUGCUGAUGUAUAGUAUUCACCAUUAUAACAUGAAAUGUUGCUGUUUGUUU